GUUGUGGUUAAAAAGCUCGUAGUUGGAUCUCGGCGGACUGAGGGCGGUUUGCUUGCUAGUAUUACUGCCCUAUAGUCCGUAGUUUUGCCAGAGGUUUCGGGGUGCUCUUAAUCGAGUGUCCCGGGAUGCUGGCAGGUUUACUUUGAAAAAAUUAGAGUGCUCAAAGCAGGCUAUUACGCCUGAAUAUUCGUGCAUGGAAUAAUAGAAUAGGAAGUCGUUUCUAUUUUGUUGGUUUUCCGAAAUCGACUUAAUGAUUAAUAGGGACAGUCGGGGGCAUUUGUAUUCAAACGACAGAGGUGAAAUUCUUGGACCGUUUGAAGACAAACUACUGCGAAAGCAUUUGCCAAGAAUGUUUUCAUUAACCAAGAACGAAAGUUAAAGGUUCGAAGGCGAUUAGAUACCGCCCUAGUUUUAACCAUAAACGAUGCCAGCUAGCGAUCUGCGGACGUUUUUUUUGUAGACUCCGCAGGAAGCUUCUGGGAAACCAAAGCAUUUGGGUUCCAGGGGAAGUAUGGUUGCAAAGCUGAAACUUAAAGGAAUUGACGGA
rnacentral:rRNA from 1 species